GUUGAACGCUAGCGGCAGGCUUAACACAUGCAAGUCGAGGGGCAGCGCGGGAUAGCAAUAUCCUGGCGGCGACCGGCGGAAGGGUGCGUAACGCGUGAGCGACAUGCCCGUUGCCCGGGGACAACCGGUGGAAACGCCGACUAAUCCCCGAUGGGAUAUUGUGCCGCAUGGCACGAUAUUGAAAGUUACGGCGGCGACGGAUUGGCUCGCGUCCGAUUAGCUUGUUGGCGGGGUAACGGCCCACCAAGGCUGCGAUCGGUAGGGGUUCUGAGAGGAAGGCCCCCCACAAUGGGACUGAGACACGGCCCAUACUCCUACGGGAGGCAGCAGUGAGGAAUAUUGGUCAAUGGGCGGAAGCCUGAACCAGCCAUGCCGCGUGCGGGAAGGAGGCCCUAUGGGCUGUGAACCGCUUUUGCCUGGGGGCAAUAAGGGCGUCGCGCACGUCCGAUGAGAGUACCAGGCGAAUAAGCAUCGGCUAACUCCGUG
rnacentral:rRNA from 1 species